AUUGAACGCUGGCGGCAGGCCUAACACAUGCAAGUCGAACGAGUGGCGGACGGGUGAGUAAUGUCUGGGAAACUCCCUGAUGGAGGGGUAUAACCACUGGAAACUGUCGCUAAUACCGUAAUCCAUCGUAUGUGCCUAUAGGGUAUUCGCUUGUAGGUGGGGUAAAGGCUCACCUAGGCGACGAUCCCUAGCUGGUCUGAGAGGAUGACCAGCCACACUGGAACUGAGACACGGUCCAGACUCCUACGGGAGGCAGCAGUGGGGAAUAUUGCACAAUGGGCGCAAGCCUGAUGCAGCCAUGCCGCGUGUAUGAAGAAGGCCUUCGGGUUGUAAAGUACUUUCAGCGGGGAGGCGUUACCGGCAGAAGAAGCACCGGCUAACUCCGUGCCAGCAGCCGCGGUAAUUC
rnacentral:rRNA from 1 species